rnacentral:tRNA from 1 species
GGGUUCAAUCCUGUCAUCCCUA